AUAGAUAAAUGUGAGGUUAUCCACUUUGGUGGCAAAAACAAGGGUGCAGAUUAUUAUCUCAAUGGGGUUAGGUUAGGUAAGGGGGAGGUACAGCGAGACCUGGGCGUCCUUGUGCACCAGUCACUGAAAGUUGGCGUGCAGGUACAGCAGGCAGUGAAGAAAGCUAAUGGAAUGUUGGCCUUCAUAACAAGAGGAUUUCAGUAUAGGAAUAAAGAGGUUCUUCUGCAGUUGUAUAGGGCUCUGGUGAGACCACAUCUGGAGUAUUGUGUACAGUUUUGGUCUCCUAAUUUGAGGAAGGACAUCCUUGUGAUUGAGGCAGUGCAGCGUAUGUUCACAAGAUUGAUCCCUGGGAUGGCGGGACUCUCAUAUGAGGAAAGAUUGAAAAGACUAGGCUUGUAUUCACUGAAGUUUAGAAGGAUGAGGAUGGAUCUUAUAGAAACAUAUUAAAUUAUCAAAGGACUGGUCAAGCCAGAUGCAGGAAAAAUGCUCCCAAUGUUGGGCGAGUCCAGAACCAGGGGCCACAGUCUUAGAAUAAAGGGGAGGCCAUUUAAGACUGAGGUGAGAAAAAACGUUUUCACACAGAGAGUUGUGAAUUUGUGGAAUUCCCUGCCACAGAGGGCAGUGGAGGCCAAAUCACUGGAUGGAUUUAAGAGAGAGUUAGAUAGAGCACUAGGGGCUAGUGGAAUCAAGAUAUAUGAGGAGAAGGCAGGCACGGGUUAUUGAUUGGCGAUGAUCACCCAUGAUCACAAUGAAUGGCGAUGCUGGCAAGAAGGGCCGAAUGGCCUUCUCCUGCAUCUAUUUUCUAUGUUUUAUUCUUGGUUAGCACAGACACGAUGGACUGAAUGGCUUCCUUCAAUGUUGUGAAUUGUUUUCAACACAUGAUUUAUUUUUACAGCACUCACCCUUAGCUAUGUGGUCAAUGCUACAUAUCAGGAAGAAAGCCGUAUGAAAUAGCUGCAAAGAUCACGAGGACUUUUUGGAUUACGCUAAGAUUUCCAGCAAUUCCCUGGACAUUGCCACUUACAGUAUCUUCGUAUUGAUGCUUGAAACGAGGUUGUAAAAUUUGCUCCGAAUGCCUUCUAACAACUUUCUCAGUAUUUAGGGCAGCACAGUGGAGCAGUUGGUAGAGCUGUUGCCUUCACAGCAACAGAGACCCCCAGUUCGAUCCUGACCUCGGGUGCUAGUGUAGAGAGUGGAUGAGAAUGUGGGGAAAAGGAACUAGUAUGCACAAGUGAUCGAUGGUCGUGGUGGGCCGAAGGGCCUGUUUCCAUGCUCUAGAUCUAAAACUAAGACUAAAUCUGCCUCCGGCACACUGAUUAUCUGUCUCCAUAGUCUGUUGUAAGUCAACGACUUUACAGGUCCUGCUUGCGGCAUUCAGCCCUGGGAUCAUUUGUCAGACCUGUGUUUAGUUGUGGCAGAAGGUUCACACAGACGUACAUGCACCUGACACUUAAACUGCACUUUAACAGGACAAUGCUUCCUAAUAUAAUCAGUGCAGUUGAAUUAUGGUUUCAAGCCACGUAUUUAUCCUUUCACUAUGACAAAGAGUAUGACACUAUGACAUUUGAAAUUCUUAAGGCCUCGUUUAAAGCCCACUCAGAAAUUUACAUAAAUAGAAAUUUGUCAGCACAGUUCUCGGGUGCAGUGUCAACAUUUAGUACCACUCAAAUUAUAAUUCCACACACUGUCAUUCACUCACAUUUCUUCCACUCAGCUGAGGGAUGAAGGCUGCACUGUUAGUCAACUCUAAGCCCACAAGCCAUAGAGCAGGUCCACAUUAAUGAAACAGUCAAGCCCUUGGCCUUCUCGUUUGUGCCAACCAUUCGAAGACUCCCUGGUCACGUUCAAAUAGUCGAUACCAGAUUCUCUCACCAGCCCGGAAAACAGCGAAGCCCUGUGACCAGUUCAGCAGUGAUGAAUGAGGCUUUGUGCAUCACUGAAGAAGAACCCUCUCGAGAUGUUGGAGUGGAAGAGGGCAUUGUACAAGGAGCUUCAAACCAAUGUUGGUUCAAUAAUGAAGGAACGCCUGCAUCUGCCGACGAAGCUUCACAAAUCCAGGGGAUUUUCAAGGCUGAACUCGUCUUUCUGACAGGCUCAUGUGGAAGCGAUGGUGAUUGCUUCUCUGGAGAAGAUGGAGCAGACCUCUCAGCAAGGACGUUGCCUCCGUUGUAUUUGCAUCAAAAUCCUUUAAUCGAUGACAAAGGCACUUCUGUUGGACCGAAUGUUAUUGGGGAUGAAUCGAAGGUUCUUUUGUUUCAAGAUACUGAGGAGAAGCUGGACGGGACUUUGCAGGGAUCUCUCUUUCAGGCAAGAGAAGUGUACUUUUACUCACUCAAGCUUAGUAAUUCUUUUGAAUAGAAUCUGAUGUCGGAUUGCUCCAUUGUAGAACUGGAAACUAUGGCAUAUAACCCGUGAAUCAAUAAGAAAACC